AACGCACAUUGCGCCCCUUGGUAUUCCGAGGGGCAUGCCUGUUCGAGCGUCAUUAUAACCCCUCAAGCUCGGCUUGGUGUUGGGGCCUGCCGCACGGGCAGCCCUUAAAAUCAGUGGCGGUGCCAUCUGGCUCUAAGCGUAGUAAUUCUUCUCGCUAUAGAGUCCCGGUGGAUGCUUGCCAUUAACCCCCAAUUUCAAUGGUUGACCUCGGAUCAGGUAGGGAUACCCGCUGAACUUAA
rnacentral:misc_RNA from 1 species